GGCCAAAACUGAAUUCCAAAAUCUGGAGUUCGAACAAUGCUUCUGUGCUGAACAGCAUACAACCAGACCACAAUAAGAAAUACCAGGAAAGACUAAUUAACAGAGGCCAAAAUGAUUUCCCUUACCAAGCAAAAGGGUUAAGUAGCUCUGCAAACAGAUAGUGGUCAGAAAAACAAGAGCAGUGGUCACGUGACUGGUCUUCUAAUAGCCUACGAACCCCUUGACCACAUCUGAAUAUGAAGUAGGAGCUUGUCACAAAACAGCCAAAACUCAUCAAAAGGUCAAGGAAAAGAUGCAGACGAUGAUGCAGGUCGUAGCUCUUAUACUGCUGAUGCAAGUGUGCGAGCCCAUCGUAGCACAGACACCCCCAGCUUCAGGGUCUGAGUCUGAACCUGGUCUACUGCAACGUGUUUCAGACAGAUACAGGAAUGGCGUUGCCCGAGUCAAGGGAAUUGGAGGAACUGUUUUGGGAUACGCGGGUGCAUACUACGAAGACCACAUCAAGCCCGUAACUGAGCCCUACAUCAACAUGGUCUCAUCCCUCAGCAGUUCUGUCUAUGACCGAGUCCAACAGUUCCGAUCCGACUGAACAGACAGUGGGUCAAAACCGUUUCAAAUCACAAACAUUGAUUUGGGUCAUACGGUCUCUUUUCGACCAUUACGCCGUGCAGACAGACUUACACACGGACUCAUGCAAGUCUCGCAAUGUCACAGACACACAGUGUACAGUAUACAGCACAUCAGGGUAAUUCAAACUGAUCAAAGAGCUAUUAAGGAAAGGUGGUGGUGAUAUGGGGUUAAACUGAUGUGGCCCAGAACCUCUGUGUUCUAGAUAUCAGGGAUGUGGUUGACUGAUAUUCUGUGGCUUAUGGGAAUAAAUAUAUCAAGAUGC